rnacentral:rRNA from 1 species
AGUCGAGCGGGAUUAGUUAGUAGCUUGCUAUUAACUAUGAGAGCGGCGCACGGGUGCGUAACGCGUAUGCAACCUACCUUAUACUGGGGUAUAGCCCGGAGAAAUUCGGAUUAAUCCCCCAUAGUAUUAUCGAUUCGCAUGUUUUGAUAAUUAAAGGUUACGGUAUAAGAUGGGCAUGCGUCCUAUUAGCUAGAUGGUGAGGUAACGGCUCACCAUGGCGACGAUAGGUAGGGGGCCUGAGAGGGUGGUCCCCCACACUGGUACUGAGACACGGACCAGACUCCUACGGGAGGCAGCAGUGAGGAAUAUUGGUCAAUGGGCGAAAGCCUGAACCAGCCAUGCCGCGUGCAGGAAGACGGUCCUAUGGAUUGUAAACUGCUUUUAUUUGGGAAUAAACUCUGAUACGUGUAUCAGCCUGAAGGUACCAAAUGAAUAAGCACCGGCUAACUCCGUGCCAGCAGCCGCGGUAAUACGGAGGGUGCAAGCGUUAUCCGGAAUCAUUGGGUUUAAAGGGUCCGCAGGCGGUCAUAUAAGUCAGUGGUGAAAGCCUACAGCUCAACUGUAGAACUGCCAUUGAUACUGUAUGACUUGAAUUCGAUCGAAGUGGGC